rnacentral:rRNA from 1 species
CCUACGGGGGGCUGCAGUGGGGAAUAUUGCGCAAUGGGCGAAAGCCUGACGCAGCGACGCCGCGUGAGGGAUGAAGGUCUUCGGAUCGUAAACCUCUGUCAGCAGGGAAGAACGGUCACUGUGGUAAUCAGCAGUGAAUUGACGGUACCUGCAAGGGACGCCCCGGCUAAGUCCGUGCCAGCAGCUGCGGUAAUACGGAGGGUGCGAGCGUUAAUCGGAAUUACUGGGCGUAAGGGGGUAUGAGUUGGUAUGUCAAGUCAAGGGUGAAAUCCCCGGGCUCAACGUGGGAACUGCCUUUGAAACUGGCAAACUGGAGUGUGUGAGAGGAUAGUGGAAUUCCAGGUGUAGGAGUGAAAUGCGUAGAUAUCAGGAGGAACAUCAGUGGCGAAGGCGACUAUCUGGCACAUAACUGACGCUGAGGAGCGAAAGCGUGGGUAGCAAACAGGAUUAGAUACCCGGGUAGUC